rnacentral:lncRNA from 1 species
GGCUUUUAUCCAGUUCUCUUCUAGUUCCAUUCAAUCUCUCUCUCUCUUGCUCUUUCACUCUUUUUCACCCAUGUUCUCAAGAUUUGAACUGACUUAAGCAUCGAAGGGUCAAGAACUAGAGGAUUUCCAUCCGAUUUCUUGACUGAUUUGACAAAUUGGAGGAAUUCUCGCCAGGUCGCAAGGCUUACUCCAGCCCAGUCUCACUCUUGUUAAUCCAAUCUACUCCA